UGCGGAAACGCUUAGGUGACUUGUCUACGAAUUGUAAUCAUAAUAUGCGCGACGGUGAAUCCUUUGCAGACGACUUGAAUGGGAACGGGGUACUGUAAGUGGUAGAGUAGCCUUGUUGCUACGAUCCACUGAGGUUAAGCCCUUGUUCUAAAGAUUUGUUCAA
rnacentral:rRNA from 1 species